AACGUAGGGGGCGAGCGUUGUCCGGAAUUAUUGGGCGUAAAGGGCGCGUAGGCGGAUAUUUAAGUCUGGUGUGAAAGGUCAGGGCUCAACCCUGAAAGUGCAUCGGAAACUGGGUAUCUUGAGGACAGGAGAGGAAAGUGGAAUUCCACGUGUAGCGGUGAAAUGCGUAGAUAUGUGGAGGAACACCAGUGGCGAAGGCGACUUUCUGGACUGUGACUGACGCUGAGGAGCGAAAGCGUGGGUAGCAAACAGG
rnacentral:rRNA from 1 species